rnacentral:rRNA from 2 species
GAUGAACGCUGGCGGCGCGCCUAACACAUGCAAGUCGAACGAUUAAAGCACCUUCGGGUGUGUAUAAAGUGGCGAACGGCUGAGUAACACGUGGGCAACCUGCCCCUCUCAUUGGGAUAGCCACGGGAAACCGUGGAUAAUACCGAAUACUUCGAGACUUCCGCAUGGAAGACUUGAGAAAGCUCCGGCGGAGAGGGAUGGGCCCGCGGCCUGUUAGCUUGUUGGUGGGGUAACGGCCUACCAAGGCAAUGAUGGGUAGCUGGGUUGAGAGACCGACCAGCCAGAUUGGGACUGAGACACGGCCCAGACUCCUACGGGAGGCAGCAGUGGGGAAUCUUGCACAAUGGGCGAAAGCCUGAUGCAGCGACGCCGCGUGCGGGAUGAAGGCCUUCGGGUUGUAAACCGCUUUCAGCAGGGACGAGGCGAAA